CAUGAAGUUGGAAUCACUAGUAAUCGCGGAUCAGCAUGCCGCGGUGAAUACGUUCCCGGGCCUUGUACACACCGCCCGUCACACCAUGAGAGUCGGGAACACCCGAAGUCCGUAGCCUAACCGCAAGGAGGGCGCGGCCGAAGGUGGGUUCGAUAAUUGGGGUGAAGUCGUAACAAGGUACC
rnacentral:rRNA from 1 species